rnacentral:rRNA from 1 species
CCUACGGGAGGCAGCAGUGGGGAAUAUUGCGCAAUGGGCGAAAGCCUGACGCAGCGACGCCGCGUGAGGGAUGAAGGUCUUCGGAUCGUAAACCUCUGUCAGCAGGGAAGAACGGUCACUGUGCUAAUCAGCAGUGAAUUGACGGUACCUGCAAAGGAAGCACCGGCUAACUCCGUGCCAGCAGCCGCGGUAAUACGGAGGGUGCGAGCGUUAAUCGGAAUUACUGGGCGUAAAGCGCUCGUAGGCGGUAUGUCAAGUCAAGGGUGAAAUCCCCGCGCUCAACGUGGGAACUGCCUUUGAAACUGGCAAACUGGAGUGUGUGAGAGGAUGGUGGAAUUCCAGGUGUAGGAGUGAAAUGCGUAGAUAUCUGGAGGAACAUCAGUGGCGAAGGCGACUAUCUGGCACAUAACUGACGCUGAGGAGCGAAAGCGUGGGUAGCAAACAGGAUUAGAUACCCUUGUAGUC